rnacentral:misc_RNA from 1 species
GUAGGUGAACCUGCGGAGGGAUCAUUACCGAGUGCGGGCCCUCGCGCCCAACCUCCCAACCCUUUGUCGAUUCAUAACCGUUGCCUCGGGGGGCGACCCGGACGUGUGCGAGCACCCGGGAGUCCCCCAGAGGUCCAACCCAACACACUGCGUCUCUGCGUCGGAGUAUUGAAAACAAUCAAUCAAAACUUUCAACAACGGAUCUCUUGGUUCUG